CCUACGGGUGGCAGCAGUGAGGAAUAUUGGUCAAUGGGCGGAAGCCUGAACCAGCCAAGUAGCGUGCAGGAUGACGGCCCUACGGGUUGUAAACUGCUUUUAUACGGGAAUAACGCGCCUUACGUGUAGGGCUUUGCAUGUACCGUGUGAAUAAGGACUGGCUUAUCUCGGGCCAGCAGCCGCGGUAAUUCGGAAGGUUCGGGCGUUAUCCGGGUUUUUUGGGUUUAAAGGGAGCGUAGGGCGGAUGUCAAGCGUGCUGUGAAAUGUUCGGGCUCAACCCGGGCCGUGCCGCUGAAACUGGCGUGCUUGAGUCCGCGGAAAGCAGGCGGAAUGCGUCGUGUAGCGGUGAAAUGCUUAGAUAUGACGAAGAACCCCGAUUGCGAAGGCAGCUUGCUGCAGCGGAACUGACGCUGAUGCUCGAAAGCGCGGGUAUCGAACAGGAUUAGAUACCCUUGUAGUC
rnacentral:rRNA from 1 species